GGAUGCGGAUCUCGAAAGCCUGUCCCAGUUCGGACUGGAGUCUGNAACCCGACUCCACGAAGUUGGAUUCGCUAGUAAUCGCGCAUCAGCCAUGGCGCGGUGAAUACGUUCCCGGGCCUUGUACACACCGCCCGUCAAGCCAUGGGAGCCGGGGGCGCCUGAAGUCCGGGACCGCGAGGACCGGCCUAGGGCGAAACUGGUAACUGGGGCUAAGUCGUAACAAGGUAUC
rnacentral:rRNA from 1 species